CAGCGGAGGGAUCAUUACUGAGUUUACGCUCUAUAACCCUUUGUGAACAUACCUAUAACUGUUGCUUCGGCGGGUAGGGUCUCCGUGACCCUCCCGGCCUCCCGCCCCCGGGCGGGUCGGCGCCCGCCGGAGGAUAACCAAACUCUGAUUUAACGACGUUUCUUCUGAGUGGUACAAGCAAAUAAUCAAAACUUUUAACAACGGAUCUCUUGGUUCUGGCAUCGAUGAAGAACGCAGCGAAAUGCGAUAAGUAAUGUGAAUUGCAGAAUUCAGUGAAUCAUCGAAUCUUUGAACGCACAUUGCGCCCGCCAGCAUUCUGGCGGGCAUGCCUGUUCGAGCGUCAUUUCAACCCUCAAGCUCUGCUUGGUGUUGGGGCCCUACAGCUGAUGUAGGCCCUCAAAGGUAGUGGCGGACCCUCCCGGAGCCUCCUUUGCGUAGUAACUUUACGUCUCGCACUGGGAUCCGGAGGGACUCUUGCCGUAAAACCCCCAAUUUUCCAAAGGUUGACCUCGGAUCAGGUAGGAAUACCCGCUGAACUU
rnacentral:rRNA from 1 species